GCACAGCUCCAGCUGAACCCAGCUCUGCUCUGCAGCCAGGGCAGAACUGCUGCCCAGAGGAAGAGAAGUGCAAACCAGCAGUUACUGAAGCACUGAGGGAUUUUUAGGUGGCUGAGGCUGAAGCUCCUCACAAUUUUACAGAAUAUUCUGAGCUGGAAGGGACCCACAGGGAUCAUAGUGGCAUCACUUGGCCCUGUCAGCUGAGGAAUCUCCUGGGUUGGGAAGGCUUUCUGGAGCACCAAGGGGAGAGCCAUAGGGAGAUCCUGCAAGAAUUCCAUCCCAAGCAUCCAAAUGCCUCAUUCCUAAAAGAAGCUGGAAUGCUAA